AUUGAACGCUGGCGGCAUGCUUUACACAUGCAAGUCGAACGGUAACAGGCCUUCGGGUGCUGACGAGUGGCGAACGGGUGAGUAAUGCAUCGGAACGUGCCCAGAGGUGGGGGAUAACGCAGCGAAAGCUGUGCUAAUACCGCAUGUGAUCUGAGGAUGAAAGCGGGGGACCAGGCAGCAAUGUUUGGCCUCGCGCCUUUGGAGCGGCCGAUGUCAGAUUAGGUAGUUGGUGGGGUAAAGGCCUACCAAGCCGACGAUCUGUAGCUGGUCUGAGAGGACGACCAACCACAACGGGACUGAGACACGGCCCAGACUCCUACGGGAGGCAGCAGUGGGGAAUUUUGGACAAUGGGCGCAAGCCUGAUCCAGCAAUGCCGCGUGCGGGAAGAAGGCCUUCGGGUUGUAAACCGCUUUUGUACGGAACGAAAAGGCUCUGGCUAAUACCUGGGGCUGAUGACGGUACCGUAAGAAUAAGCACCGGCUAACUACGUG
rnacentral:rRNA from 1 species